AGAGCACUGUUUCGGCAAGGGGGUCAUCCCGACUUACCAACCCGAUGCAAACUGCGAAUACCGGAGAAUGUUAUCACGGGAGACACACGGCGGGUGCUAACGUCCGUCGUGAAGAGGGAAACAACCCAGACCGCCAGCUAAGGUCCCAAAGUCAUGGUUAAGUGGGAAACGAUGUGGGAAGGCCCAGACAGCCAGGAUGUUGGCUUAGAAGCAGCCAUCAUUUAAAGAAAGCGUAAUAGCUCACUGGUCGAGUCGGCCUGCGCGGAAGAUGUAACGGGGCUAAACCAUGCACCGAAGCUGCGGCAGCGACGCUUAUGCGUUGUUGGGUAGGGGAGCGUUCUGUAAGCCUGUGAAGGUGUGCUGUGAGGCAUGCUGGAGGUAUCAGAAGUGCGAAUGCUGACAUAAGUAACGAUAAAGCGGGUGAAAAGCCCGCUCGCCGGAAGACCAAGGGUUCCUGUCCAACGUUAAUCGGGGCAGGGUGAGUCGACCCCUAAGGCGAGGCCGAAAGGCGUAGUCGAUGGGAAACAGGUUAAUAUUCCUGUACUUGGUGUUACUGCGAAGGGGGGACGGAGAAGGCUAUGUUGGCCGGGCGACGGUUGUCCCGGUUUAAGCGUGUAGGCUGGUUUUCCAGGCAAAUCCGGAAAAUCAAGGCUGAGGCGUGAUGACGAGGCACUACGGUGCUGAAGCAACAAAUGCCCUGCUUCCAGGAAAAGCCUCUAAGCAUCAGGUAACAUCAAAUCGUACCCCAAACCGACACAGGUGGUCAGGUAGAGAAUACCAAGGCGCUUGAGAGAACUCGGGUGAAGGAACUAGGCAAAAUGGUGCCGUAACUUCGGGAGAAGGCACGCUGAUAUGUAGGUGAAGUCCCUCGCGGAUGGAGCUGAAAUCAGUCGAAGAUACCAGCUGGCUGCAACUGUUUAUUAAAAACACAGCACUGUGCAAACACGAAAGUGGACGUAUACGGUGUGACGCCUGCCCGGUGCCGGAAGGUUAAUUGAUGGGGUCAGCGCAAGCGAAGCUCUUGAUCGAAGCCCCGGUAAACGGCGGCCGUAACUAUAACGGUCCUAAGGUAGCGAAAUUCCUUGUCGGGUAAGUUCCGACCUGCACGAAUGGCGUAAUGAUGGCCAGGCUGUCUCCACCCGAGACUCAGUGAAAUUGAACUCGCUGUGAAGAUGCAGUGUACCCGCGGCAAGACGGAAAGACCCCGUGAACCUUUACUAUAGCUUGACACUGAACAUUGAGCCUUGAUGUGUAGGAUAGGUGGGAGGCUUAGAAGUGUGGACGCCAGUCUGCAUGGAGCCGACCUUGAAAUACCACCCUUUAAUGUUUGAUGUUCUAACGUUGACCCGUAAUCCGGGUUGCAGACAGUGUCUGGUGGGUAGUUUGACUGGGGCGGUCUCCUCCUAAAGAGUAACGGAGGAGCACGAAGGUUGGCUAAUCCUGGUCGGACAUCAGGAGGUUAGUGCAAUGGCAUAAGCCAGCUUGACUGCGAGCGUGACGGCGCGAGCAGGUGCGAAAGCAGGUCAUAGUGAUCCGGUGGUUCUGAAUGGAAGGGCCAUCGCUCAACGGAUAAAAGGUACUCCGGGGAUAACAGGCUGAUACCGCCCAAGAGUUCAUAUCGACGGCGGUGUUUGGCACCUCGAUGUCGGCUCAUCACAUCCUGGGGCUGAAGUAGGUCCCAAGGGUAUGGCUGUUCGCCAUUUAAAGUGGUACGCGAGCUGGGUUUAGAACGUCGUGAGACAGUUCGGUCCCUAUCUGCCGUGGGCGCUGGAGAACUGAGGGGGGCUGCUCCUAGUACGAGAGGACCGGAGUGGACGCAUCACUGGUGUUCGGGUUGUCAUGCCAAUGGCACUGCCCGGUAGCUAAAUGCGGAAGAGAUAAGUGCUGAAAGCAUCUAAGCACGAAACUUGCCCCGAGAUGAGUUCUCCCUGACUCCUUGAGAGUCCUGAAGGAACGUUGAAGACGACGACGUUGAUAGGCCGGGUGUGUAAGCGCAGCGAUGCGUUGAGCUAACCGGUACUAAUGAACCGUGAGGCUUAACCUU
rnacentral:rRNA from 1 species